rnacentral:lncRNA from 1 species
UGACUUUGACUCUCCCCCUCUUUCUUGUCCGUUCCUUCAGGUGACCAUCCCAUUAGAAGAAGACAGAUGCAGCAGAGAGGCCACUAACUGUCCAUGUCACAGGAUACUCCUCCUACACCCCCCUCCCUCCCUGAAGUGGUCUGUUCUCUACAAUCAUCUCAUCAUCCCCAUGUUUUAACUUGUUUUCAUAAUUUUUCAGAACCCUAAUCUCAAUCACAUAUGAGUAUUAGUAGAUUUCAUUAUUUAAAUGAUUUAAAAUAAGGUCUGGAUGACAGGGUAUGCUUGUCUGAUUUAGGUAGUCUACUUCAUUUAAAGAAGUACUUAGUUGCCUAAAUAAGAUUUAAACAUUUGGAUUUGGGAAUCUCUUUUCACUUGUUCUUUUCUUGGUCCAUAAGAAGAGCCAGAACCACAGCAUGCCUCUCUAUUUCAGAGCUACAUUAAGGUGAGUUUAAAAACAAGUUAACUUGUUGAAUGCCAGGAAGAAAAACAAUAUUUGGGAAUAAAAUCUGAUGGAGAUAAGAUUUGGCUAUUGAGGAA